rnacentral:rRNA from 1 species
AGAACGCUAGCGGGGAGGCCUAACACAUGCAAGUCGAACGGGAUUGAGAGCUUGCUCUCAUGAGAGUGGCGCACGGGUGAGUAACGCGUAUGCAACCUACCUUUAACAGAGGGAUAGCCCAUAGAAAUGUGGAUUAAUAUCUCAUAGUUCUGAGAAGCCGCAUGGUUUUUCAGAUAAAGCUCCGGCGGUUAAAGAUGGGCAUGCGUGACAUUAGCUAGUUGGUAAGGUAACGGCUUACCAAGGCUACGAUGUCUAGGGGUUCUGAGAGGAUGAUCCCCCACACUGGUACUGAGACACGGACCAGACUCCUACGGGAGGCAGCAGUGAGGAAUAUUGGUCAAUGGGCGCAAGCCUGAACCAGCCAUCCCGCGUGAAGGAUGAAGGCCCUAUGGGUCGUAAACUUCUUUUAUACACCAAGAAAAACAUCCACGUGUGGGUGCCCGACGGUAGUGUAUGAAUAAGCAUCGGCUAACUCCGUGCCAGCCGCCGCGGUAAUUCAAGGGCGAA